rnacentral:rRNA from 1 species
CACGCCCUAAACGAUCUUCACUAGCUUUUCGGAGUAUCGACCCUCUGAGAGGCGAAGCUAACGCGUUAAGUGAAGCGCCUGGGAAGUACGGCCGCAAGGCUAAAACUCAAAGGAAUAGACGGGGACUCGCACAAGCGGUGGAUUAUGUGGUUUAAUUCGUAGGUAAACGAAGAACCUUACCAUGCCUUGAAACCUAACUGAAAGCUCGCAGAAACGUGAGCCCUCGCAAGACUGUUAGGCAGGUGA